rnacentral:rRNA from 1 species
UACUGCCUAGGGGCGCAGCAGUGGGGAAUAUUGCACAAUGGGGGGAACCCUGAUGCAGCGACGCCGCGUGAGUGAAGAAGUAUUUCGGUAUGUAAAGCUCUAUCAGCAGGGAAGAAAAUGACGGUACCUGACUAAGAAGCCCCGGCUAACUACGUGCCAGCAGCCGCGGUAAUACGUAGGGGGCAAGCGUUAUCCGGAUUUACUGGGUGUAAAGGGAGCGUAGACGGUAGAGCAAGUCUGAAGUGAAAGCCCGCGGCCCAACUGCGGGACUGCUUUGGAAACUGCCCGGCUAGAGUGCUGGAGAG